GCCCUUUUUCGAAGGUCCCUCAUUCCCAUUCUCACUUUAGCUUCUGAACUCUUGAGAGAGAGAGAGAGAGAGAGAGAGAGAGAGACUUCGUCGGUUGGAUCUCAAUCUCAAUCACUCAGUGACAGCAGUUUCUCCCUCUCUCUCUCUCUCUCUCUCUCUCUCACACACACACAAACCCAAGAAUGAAGAUGAUGCAAAUUGGCUUUCUUUUUUGUUGCGUCAGCUACACAAUUCUUGUCAACGGGAAUUCCAUUUAUAUUAAAUGCGUGGAUCGUCAGGCACCUUUCAGUUUAGGACUUUACGGUAACAGUAUAUACUACUUUCUCCGUCCUUGACUGCAUUUUCCAAGUUCCUGGUUGAUUUUCUCUUAAAUAUU
rnacentral:lncRNA from 1 species